UUGAGGCAAAGAUGAUAGGUUGAUGGGAUUGCGCGCAUGGUUUUCAGCCAUGGUGUUCCCAUGAUAACGUUGUAAGAUGCGGGGCGGUCGACGACUAGAAACUCUGUGACAGUUGUCACGGUUCCGGCUUUGACGGCGAGUCUAAUCGAUCCAUAGGCCAUGGUCGUUUCUCCCAAAAGUCCUAGCAGUGGGCUUGGACAUUUCGCGACUUCGGAUAGAUUGAUCCCCAUCUUUUCAAGAGUGUCUUUGAAGAUGAUAUCGGCCGAGCUUCCGGUAUCGAUUAGCACUCUAGCGAAGUCGAUAUCUCGAAUCGUCAACUCGAUAACAAGGAGAUCGUUU
rnacentral:lncRNA from 1 species